AGGAAUAUCCAUUAGGUGAAG
rnacentral:snRNA from 1 species